GCCAUUUGUAGUCCCAGCACUUUGGAAGGUUAUUAGCCCCAUCUUAUAUUUGCAGAAACAGAGGGUUAGAGGGUUGAGGUUACUCAGCUAAAAAAAUGAUGGAGCCAGGUUUCCAACAUCCAGAGCCUGUGUUCUUAUUUUUUAUUUUUAUUGAAAAGAUAAUACAGUACAAAAGAGUACAUAUUAAAAGGUAAGGCUCUGUUCUACUCCAGACUCCUAGCUGUUUCCCUUCUCAGAGGACAUCAUUCAUAUGAAGACAUUUUCUAAGUGUUUACAAGCACACAUGUGUAUAUUUCUGUUUCUUGUCCCCUCUCCCCCAGUUUUUUUAGACAGGGUCUCACUCUGUUGUCCAGGCUAAAGUACAGUAGUGCAAUCAUAGCUCACUGCAGCCUCAAUCUCCUGGGCUCCAGCAAUCCUCCAUCUCAGCCUCCCAAGUUAGCUGGGACUACAGGCAUACACCACCAUGCUUGGCAUUUUUAUUUUUUUGCUAUGUUGCCCAGGCUGGUCUUGAAAUCCUGGGCUCAAGCAACCCUCCCACCUCAGAGGUAGGGAUUACAGGCAUGAGCCACCAAGCCCAGCCUUCCCUUACCUUUUUAAAGUACAAAAUUAUAUUCUACGCUCUGUUGUGUACCAUAUUUUUUCCCCCACUUAACAUGUUUUGUAGAUCCUUUGUAUAAUUGGCACAUAUGGAAAUAACUUAUUUUUUAUAGCUGCAGAGGAUGAAUGUAAUGCAAUUUAUUUAACCAUCUUUCCAAUGAAAGUAAUUUAAAUUCUUUUUAUCUUUUGCUAUUGCAAAUAUUGCUGCAAUAAACAUUUUUUUGAAGAUGGGGUCCUGCUAUAUUGCGCAGGCUGGUCUUGAACUCCUGGCCUCAAGUGAUUCUCCCACCUCAGCCUCCUGAGUAGUCAAGAUUAGAGGCAUAAGCCACUGUGCCCAGUGCAAUAUGCAUUCUGAUACUUAGGUCAUUACAGACAUGUACAAGUAUAUCUGUAGGACAAAUAUCUAGAAAUGGAAUUUCUGGCUCAAAGGGUAAUGCGCAUUACAAUUUUGAUAGAUAUGGCCAGAGAGGUUCCAAGAAUUUACAUUUUCCUCAAACACUGUGAAAAUUCCUGUUUCCCCAUAUUCUUAUCAGUGCCAUGUAUUGUAAACUCCUUAUUUUUGCUAAUCCAGUAGAAAAAAAUAGCAUUUUGCUGUUAUGAAUUUGCAUACUUCCAACAAAUAUAUAAACAUAAAUUUGUAUUUUUUUCUGGUAUGUAUAAUUCAGCUUCUCCUUAAUGAUUCGUAAAAACUCCAUUUUUUUUUAAGUCCAUUAUCUGUCAUAUGAGUUGCAAAUAUUUUUCUCCCAGUUGGCAUUUUUUCUUUGUGAAAUUUUUUAUUCUGGUGAAGAAAUUUCCAUUUUUGAUGUAGUUAAAUUUAUCAAAUGUUUUCCUUUGUGGUUUCUGGAUUUUGUGUUUUGCUUAAAAGAAAUAGGGCCUAUAAUUUUAGCCAUUAUACUAUGCGGUUUCUUUAUUUUCUUUUAUAUUUAUUUAUUUAUUUAUUUAUUUGUUUUUGAGACAGUUUUGCUCUUGUUGCCCAGGCUGGAGUGCAAUGUGCGAUCUCGGCUCACUGCAACCUCCGCCUCCCGGGUUCAAGCGAUUCUCUUGCCUCAGCCUCCGGAGUAGGUGGGAUUACAGGCAUGCGCCACCAUGCCCAGCUAAUUUUGAAUUUUUUAAAAAAUAGAGACAGGGUUUUGCCAUGUUGGUCAGGCUGGUUUUGCAAUCCUGACCUCAGGUGAUCCGCCCACCUUGGCCUCCCAAAGUGCUGGGAUUACAGGCAUGAGCCACUGCACCCAGCCUAUAUUUUAUUUUUGAGACCAAGUCUCCCAGGCUGGAGUGCAGUAGCCGAGACGGGCAGAUCACCUGAGCUCAGGAGUUCGAGACCAGCCUGGCGAACAUGGCAAAACCCUGUCUCUACUAAAAAUACACAAAUUAGCUGGGCGUGGUGGUGCAUGCCUGUAAUGCCAGGCUGAGAUAGGAGGCUGAGAUGGGAGAAUCACUGGAACCAAGGAGCUGGAGGUUGCAGUGAGCCAAGAUUGCGCCACUGCACUCCAGCAUGCGUGACAGAGC
rnacentral:lncRNA from 1 species